CACACACACACACACACACACACACACACACACACACAGACAGCUAGUACAAUUGGUCCCGGAAUUGUUUAUCCGAGCAAUUUCCUCGGUGUUAUGGAGCUGAAAUUUGCUGAAGCGUGACGCAUGAGCCAUGCAUCUUCGCAGAACACCAGUAGUACUCAGCUGAAUGUGAUAUACUACAACAGUGUAGAUUUACAGAAAAAAAAAGAUGGCGGAGUUCUCCCCAGUCCUGUCUCUUAGGGACGGAGGCGGACGGUUUGGACAGCCGUUGUUUCCGAGAUCCCGGUCUGGUUCGGAGUCAGAGAGUGAACUGUCACAGAGCUUGGCACGAACCAAGACCCGCUCCUAUGGAAGUACCGCCAGCGUUACGGCAACUAUAGGGGAGAAGUACAUUGAGCAUCGGGUAGCGGACGGCGAUACCCUGCAAGGAAUAGCCCUCAAAUAUGGUGUCACGAUGGAACAGAUCAAGAGAGCAAACAAGCUCUUCAGCAAUGACUGUAUUUUCCUGCGGCAUAGUCUUAACAUCCCCGUGCAGCUGGAGAAACCGUCUCUCUUUAACGGACUGUCUUUGGAAUCGCCAGAUGCCUGCGUGGUCCUGGAGUUGCCUUCACCCUCCCCCUCACCGCCGGGUGCCGAGGCCGCGUCCCCAGACCCUCCUACACGGCCCCCUCCGCCCGAUGAGCUCUCUGCUAAAGACUAUUUACAAAUGCUAGAUGUACAGAUCAACCGCUCCAAGCAGGCCGCCAGAAAGCUUAAGGAAGAAGGUGGCAGCCUUUAGGCAGAUCUGCUGGAGGAAGAGCUGAUCCCGACUGGAGUCGUCUGGUGCUACCUACGAUCGCCUUUAAUGGCUGUGUUUGUGUGCACCAAAGAGGAGGAGGAAGACCCAUCCUAUUCUAAGACAUCAUCUUAGGAGACGUAAUUCAAAUCUGAUGACUUUUUUUUACCUAGAGAUAACCCUAAUCCUAACCCUAGCUCUAAUCCUAACCCUAUCCCUAACCCUAACCCUAAUCCUAACCCUAGAGCUAAAACAAUAAUCUCUACAGCCCAUCCUUCCUGUUCUCUUUCUCUGUCAUCACACUUUUUUCUCAUUUUUUAAAAUUUGCUUUUAUCAGUCCAUGAAACAGGACUUGACACCUCCACUGCCUUUCAUAGAUUAUAUUUAUUAUUAUUGCUGUUAUCUACCCUCAUCUUUCUCUCCCUCAGUGUCUAUGGUGUCUCAGUGUCUAUUGGUUCAGCCAGAAAUUCUAAUACAUUAGAAAAUAGCAGGUAGCACCUUGCAUUCAUCCUCCAAUCAGUAUUAACCACAUUAGCAUAUUUGGCCAAACUCUUCCCUCAGGACACCAGUCAUCCAUCAGGACUGAGCUCCUUCUCCAUCAUUGACAGAUAUCCAUCAGGACUGAGCUCCUCCUCCAUCAUUGACUGCACUGAGGAUAUCAAAGAGAGAAGUGCUGUCUGGCACAUGCUUCUAACAUUGUAUACUGCUGAUUGGGACUUUUAAAGAGAUUUCUGCGAAAAUAUCUGACAUCUGUCUCCAUCUGUCUGCAAGUUGGUGUUCAAUCAGUAGUGCAGUAUAUGGACCUAUUUGUGGUGUGUGUGCGUGCAUGCGUGUGUGUGCGUGUGUGUGGUAUGUGUGUGUGCGUGUGUGUGAGUGGGUGGGGUCUUCCUGCAUUUUGGUUCUUUUUUGGCUCUGUAAGGAAUAAAUAAUGUUUGCAGUGUGAAUGUGAUGCUUUUGUGUUUAAAGUAUGGUUUGGAAAAAUAUAUUGUAGUGUGCUUUUGAAUUUAAAGUUCCUAAUAAAUGUAUCUAUAAGUCAGUAUUACAUAA